rnacentral:rRNA from 1 species
GACGAACGCUGGCGGCGUGCCUAAUACAUGCAAGUAGAACGCUGAAGAGAGGAGCUUGCUCUUCUUGGAUGAGUUGCGAACGGGUGAGUAACGCGUAGGUAACCUGCCUUGUAGCGGGGGAUAACUAUUGGAAACGAUAGCUAAUACCGCAUAACAAUGGAUGACACAUGUCAUUUAUUUGAAAGGGGCAAUUGCUCCACUACAAGAUGGACCUGCGUUGUAUUAGCUAGUAGGUGAGGUAAUGGCUCACCUAGGCGACGAUACAUAGCCGACCUGAGAGGGUGAGCGGCCACACUGGGACGGAGACACGGCCCAGACUCCUACGGGAGGCAGCAGUAGGGAAUCUUCGGCAAUGGGGGCAACCCUGACCGAGCAACGCCGCGUGAGUGAAGAAGGUUUUCGGAUCGUAAAGCUCUGUUGUAAGUCAAGAACGGGUGUGAGAGUGGAAAGUUCACACUGUGACGGUAGCUGACCAGAAAGGGACGGCUAACUACGUG